AUGGCAAGUCGAUCCACUCUAGCCCGUUCCAGCUGGGAGGCCGCACAUGGCAUGUUCGUUACUAUCCCAACGGGAACAAGACGGAAGACAUCGAUUACAUAUCCGUCUUUCUCGAAUUCGAUGAUACCGUCGUCCCGGAGGCCGGGGCCGUGGAGGCGCAAGCCAAGUUCAGCCUACUCGACCAACAUGGGAAUCCUGUGCCGUCCUAUACCCAGCGGACCAUCAGGAACAACUACGCUGUGA
rnacentral:rRNA from 1 species